rnacentral:sRNA from 1 species
GCCUGUAAUCCCAGCAACUCUGGGAGGCUGAGGCGGGAGGAUCACUUGCAUCCAGGAGUUCAAGGUCAGCCUGAACGAUAUAGCAAGAACCUGUCUCAA